AACAAAUGAUUUCCUUUUGUCAGUAAUUAUAAAUAUCUUGGUUUUAUUCUAGAUAAUGAACUCUCUUUUAAAAAUCACAUAGCAAAUCUACUACGGACAUUGAAAAGGAAAAUUGGGUUUUAUUAUCGAAAUGGAUCU